rnacentral:rRNA from 1 species
CGACGUAGGGGGCUAGCGUUGCCCGGAUUCACUGGGCGUAAAGCGCGCGUAGGCGGUUCGGCAAGUCGCCCGUGAAAGCCCCUGGCUCAACUGGGGGAGGUCGGGCGAUACUGCCGGGCUAGAGGGCGGCAGAGGGAGGUGGAACGGCCGGAGUAGCGGUGAAAUGCGUAGAUACCGGCCGGAAUCCCGAUGGCGAAGGCAACCUCCUGGGCCGUUCCUGACGCUAAGGCGCGAAAGCUGGGGGAGCGAACCGGAUUAGAUACCCUAGUAGUCC